GAUGAAGAACGCAGCGAAAUGCGAUAAGUAAUGUGAAUUGCAGAAUUCAGUGAAUCAUCGAAUCUUUGAACGCACAUUGCGCCCCCUGGUAUUCCGGGGGGCAUGUCUGUUCGAGCGUCAUUUCACCACUCAAGCCUCGCUUGGUAUUGGGCAACGCGGUCCGCCGCGUGCCUCAAAUCGACCGGCUGGGUCUUCUGUCCCCUAAGCGUUGUGGAAACUUUCGCUAAAGGGUGUUCGGGAGGCUACGCCGUAAAACAACCCCAUUUCUAAGGUUGACCUCGGAUCAGGUAGGGAUACCCGCUGAACUUAAGCAUAUCAAUAAGCGGAGGA
rnacentral:misc_RNA from 1 species